CCGUCUCACUUGACGCAUGUCCUUUGUGCUUGUGCUAACUUGCUCUCGCCGCACAGAUAGAUUACUACUGUAUUUUUUAGCAUUUUUCUUUCACCUCAUAUUUGGUCUCAAAUGCUGAUACUAUGUGGGAAUGCAUAAAGGGUGACUUCCUGGAAAGACCAACAGCCAAUUGACAGCUAUGGGAAACAAUCAUGACUGGAAUGUGGAAACACAGACAGGAAAAGCCGGAAUAUAUCCCAGGUGACUUUGAAUGAGAGGUGGGGUACGUCCUGGUUUGGUCGCCAGUAUCGAUCCACGUGUAGCCGGAGGAAAUCCACCCGAGCGCAUGGAGAACAAGAACGGAGUGCUGUGAGCCACAAAUGGAACCCAACAGAAUCAUGAAAAAUUUCUCUCUGCUACAUUUGGUAACAAGAUAAAUAAAGAAAAAACAACAACAGCAAAAAUAGGAAAAAUCAGCAGUUUACGAGUAUAAAGUCCAAAUAUAAAAAAAAAAAUAGGAAACAUAAUAUCAUUUUAGCAGCAUAGAGAUUUUUUUUUUUUCGAGUCGUAAUAUUAUGACAAACAAACAAAAGAACAAAUAAAGCUGCAAUUUUUCAAAUAUUAGGUUAAAAAAAAGUUAUAAUGUUAUGAGAAUAAAGUCAAAUUAUUAUUGGAAUAAAGUCAUAAUUAUGAGAAGGACAUUUCCAAGAAGAAAGCUGAAAUAGUUGGACAAUAAAAUUGAAAAAAACAGCAGCAGAAAAGGAAAAGAAAAAAAAAACGGCUGUAAUUUUUUUUUUUAAGUCAAAAUAUUAUGAGAAAAAAAUUUGUAUUCCAACAACAACAAAAAAUGUUUAGGAGAAUAAACUUGGAAAAAUAAUGUUAUUUUAAUAGCAUAAAGUUGAAACAUUGAAGAAAAAAAUAUGAUAAUUCAUAAUAUUAUGAAAUAUAGUAAUAUAUAUAGUAUAUAUACUGUAGUAUAUACUGUAUAUAGUAUAUAUAGUAAUUGUAAUUUUUUGAAAAUUUGGUUGGGUAAAAGUUAUAAUAUAAUGGGAAUAAAGUCAAAAUAUUUUGGCAAUGAAGUCAUUAAUAUUACGAGAAGAAAAUUGACAGCAAUUAUUUAAAAAGAAAGUUGAAAUAUGUGGAAAAUUUAAGAAAACAACAACAGCAAAAAUGGAAAAAAAGAAGAAAGACCAAAGUUGAUACUAAUAAUAGGCUUUUGCACCUAUACCACAAAGCUGAGAGUUUCUUUUUUCUUGAAAUAUACAUACUGUAACGUCUUAUAUCUGUACAAAAUAUCAAAGUGGCAAAAUUGCAUACUUCCGUUUUUCACUGGAAACAGUUUGGGCACCCCUGCAGUAGCGGGUAGCUGCUGGACGUCACAGUUUAAAGGGCACUUGUGACAGGUGCUGGCUCUCUAGCCAUGGCUCACUUUUUUAAAGCACUUAAGCUGUCAAAGGGUACAACUCUUCACGUGUCCUUUGCGUAGUUUGCCCGCUCUGACGAGGAUACUCUUGACAGAACGCACCAUUUCCUUCAGUUUGUCUUGCUCUGCCAACAUUGCUGCAACGUGCAGCCAAACGUUCUCAAAUAUUGCUUCUGUUGAAUUUAAGUUGGGCUUUUGAUUUUGGUUUUAGACGAACUAUGCUAAAGAUGUAUUUCUUUUAUUCAUGACUGACUUAACGGGCGGCAGCUGGAGGGGCUGUGCGGAUGUACGUAAACUUCAAUCCCUGACACAUCAAGAGUCAUGCUGGAUGACAAAUUGACAGUCCAGGCUUUUCAAAAAUGUAUUUCUUGUUUAUUUGAUUUAUUUUUUUCUUCUUGUCAAACUGCACUGCGUGUGAAGCAGUUCAGUUCAAGAGUUGUGAUUAUUUUGGAAUGUGAACUGACAGCGUAUGACGAUUUCUUAUGAUGGAAAAUAACACAGCCUGCCUGGGGGGUAAUACGGGGUGUCCUGUAAAAAUAUUAUGGGGAUAAAAUCAUCACUAAGAGAAGAAAAUUUACAAGAAGAAAGUUGAAAUAGUUGGUAAAAGAAAAACAGCAGACAUGAAAAUAAUCAGCUGUAAUUUUAAUAGGAAAAAGUCAAAAAUAUUAAGAGAAAAAAGGUAAUAUUCUAAAGAGACAAAAAAUUUGAAUUUUACGUGAAUAAACUUGGAAUAUUUCGAGGAAAAAUAACAUCAUUUUAGGAGCAUACGGUUGAAAUAUUAAAGAAAAAGGACGUUAUUUUUUAAAAGUGGGAAUAUUUUUUAAAAAGUUAUAAUGUUAUGAUAGUUGGAAUGCAGAAAAAGUUAUGAUGUUACAAGAAUAAAGGCAAAAUAUUAUGGGAAUGAAGUCAUAAUUUUGAGAAGCAGAAAUUGAAAAAAAAAAUUGUCGUUUUAAGAGAAUGAAGUAAAAAUAUGUGGAGAAAAAAGUUAUAAUUUUACAGGAAUAAAGCCUAAAUUUUGAAAAGAAAAUUUAACGCUGAAAAAGUUGCAAAAAAAACCCAAAUGAAAAAAAGCUGUAAUUUUCCGAGAAUCCAUCCAUCCAUUUUCUAUACCGCUUCAUCCUCAUUAGGGUCGCGGGGGCAUGCUGGAGCCUAUCCCAGCUGACUUCGGGCGACAGGCGGGGUACACCCUGGACUGGUCGCCAGCCAAUCGCAGGGCACAUAUAGACAAACAACCAUUCACACUCACAUUCAUACCUAUGGGCAAUUUAGAGUCGCCAAUUAACCUAACAUGCAUGUUUUUGGAAUGUGGGAGGAAACCGGAGUACCCGGAGAAAACCCACGCACACACGGGGAGAACAUGCAGACUCCACACAGAAAUGCCCAGGGGAGAUCUUCCCGAUCUCCAGGCUGUUCCUGUAUUGGCCAACGUGCUAACCACUAGACCACUGUGCGGCCCUUUUCCGAGAAUAUAAAGUCAAAAUAUUAAGACAAAAAAAGUUGUGAUUUUACGAGAAUAAAGUCACAAUUUUGAGAAGAAAAAUUUUGAAGAACGUGGGAAAAAAGUUUGGAAAAUUAAAAAAAAAAACAGCAGAAAUGGAAAAAGCAGCUGUAAUUUUAAGAGAAGCUUGUUAUAUUUUGAGGAAAACUAAUGAAAUUUUUGUAUCAAAGAGUUGAAAUAUCAGAGACAAAAUACCUCAUAUUAUGAGAAAUGCUGAUGGGGAUGUCAUUUUCAUGUCAAAAAAACAGAACUAUCCCUUUAAGGAAAUAAUGUCAAAAUAUUGUGGGACUAAAGACAUAAUGACAAGAAAUAUUUUUACUGGAAGAAAAUUGAAAUAUUUGGAAAGUGCAACAACAACAAAAAAUCAACAGCAAAAAUGGGAGCGGAAAAAAAGAGUAAAGAAGGAGGUUGACACUAUUAUUGGGCUUUUUCACCUACAUCAAAUACAACAUCAAUUGCAUGUAUCACCUAGAUCAGGGGUCGGGAACCUUUUUGGCUAAGAGAGCCAUAAAAGCCACAUAUUUUAAAAUGGAUUUCCUUGAGAGCCAUAUAAUAUUUUUUAACAUUGAGUACAAGUAAAUGUGGGCAUUUUUAAGGAGGACCUCUAAAGUUAUUCUUUUUAUUAACAUUGUUACACUGAAGCUAUCCAAUAAUAAAUAAAUUACUUCUUACCAUUAAUGCGACUUCUGGUGCUGCGUGCUUUUGCACCGUACUCCGUAUCUUUUUCUUUUUCCAGAAUUAGCGAUCUGACUAUUUGAUUUAAGGAAGGGAAGUUCAUGCGAAUAGGCUACCGCGAAUAGGCUACCGCAUUAUCCAGUGAUAAUCGAAUUUUGGUGUUUGACCCGGAAAAUAUUGGAAGGACAGCUGGCACUGGCUCUGGCCACCCGCAUUGUGGUAGAAAAUGGAUGGAUGGACUAAAAUGCAUAACAAAGUUUUAUAUUUUGAGUGUUAUUUUUAACACUGUGAUUUCUGUAAUGUACAAAGGUCAGCGAACAAAAAAACAAAAAUACAUUUUUAUCGUGUUAAGACAUGUUUGAGAGCCAGAUGCAGGCAUCAAAAGAGCCACAUCUGGCUCCCGAGCCAUAGGUUCCCUACCCCUGACCUAGAUGUUGGAAUCACUGUCGUCUUUCAAAUUCUAUUUUCUGUGCACAGUCAACAGUGCCUUGUCUGACGACUACUACUGACUUUAUUCCAUAAUCAGCUUGUGCAUCAUUAACUGGUGAUGGAUCUGUGGUAUUGUGGUUGUUCAGCACCAUGUAUUUUGAGUUCAUAUAAGGGACUUUAAACAUCUGUUAGACAGAACAAGCUGUUUCAUAUUUUCGUCUCAUCUAAUGUUCCAGACACAGAUGAGUCAUGUUGUUGUGUAACACCCGAUGAGCAUGAAUGACGAGUCAUGCUCUCUACCUUAUAUAGGGGUUGGAAACCCGCGGCUCUUUAGCCUCCAUGUGGCUCCAUUCACAGAGCUCCAAUAUUUUUUUUAAAUGCGCAGUUUUGAAACGAGUUAAAAAUAUCCGACUAUUUGUAAGUCCAUGAAUGCGUCCUGGCUGAAUUCUGACUGGUGAUUGGAUGAGCAAUGGGAAGGGAGGGGAAAGCCUUUGUGUGACUGCCCGCCUACGUGUGGUGGGCUGCUCGUGAGACAAUAAUCAUGAAUGCCUAAAAUAAAACAUAUAAAUAAAAAGGGAAAUGGUCGUCAAUUGACCAUUUGUUAAGGUGUCAGCUAGUGAGGUUUGACCAACGUACGAUCACAAUGAACACUGCACUUCUGUUGUUGUAACAGUUAAAAUAAACAUAGGUUAAAAGUUUGAAAAGCUUUUAAACAGGGCUAUGUUUUAUGCUCCAGACUAUUUUUCUUAAGUAGAAGAGACGGGAAAAUGACUGUUUUGAUCGUAAAGGUUGCCGACCCCAGUUCUAUACUGAAAAGGACAUUUCUGCAAUCUAUGGUAUCAUUGCAGUGGUAUAAAUAGGCUUCCCUCAUCCCCGGUUCAAGCAGUUAUCUUCAUUUAUUAUUUGUGGUGGCAAAAGUUUAGCAAAUUGAUUUGUUUUUUUAUGAGACCAGACAAGAUAGGGCUUCCAGGAAGAGUCAAGACGUCUGACCUCCUCUCCAGAAGAGUGGAUGGUCCAACCCAGUUAUUUAUCAGCUUCAGGGACAAGCCUUUCUUCAUCUCUGGGCUGUAGACCGAAUUCCGUUUUCCAUCCAUCCACCUUCUAUGACGCUUAUCCUCAAUAGGGUCUCGGCGGUACGCUGGAGCCUGUCCCAGCUGACUUCGGGCGAGAGGCCGGCUCGCCAGCCAAUCACAGGGCACAUAUAGACAUAUAGACAGCCACUCACACUCACAUUCAUAUCUAUGGACAAUUUAGAGUCUCCAAUUAAACUAACAUGCCACGCGUGCACGAGGAGAACAUGCAAACUCCACACAGAGAUGCGCAAACAGAGAUUCAAACCCAGAUCUUCCAGAUCUUCUGACUGUGUGGCCAAUAUGCUGACCGUUAGCCUCAAAUUCCGUCUUUGUCCAUGUUAAUCUUUUUUAAUUAAAUGCAAAAAUCCUUACAUUUAUUGAUGCUAUACAUCAUUUGCUAAUGUUGCCCAGUAUUUGCCCAGAAAGGAAUGCAGCUUGGCUAACUUUUCUAAUGGGAUGUCAUUCUUUGCUAUACAAUCCUGAACAAACUGUGAUGGCCCUGCUUGUGGUUUAGGAAGACGUCGUCACCGAUGCAAUUCCAAAUGUGUUAUUAAUGUAAGAUAUUUUUCAUGACACCCAUAUUUUGUUUACACAAUUAGACAGUAUAUGGCGAACAGUGCUCUUAUUUUGAAGGCAGGAAGUGUGUAGUGUGUUGAAAAUGUCUGUUGUCAGUCAAGACGAGCUGGGAGCAAGAAUAAAUGUGCCUCCCGUCCUUAUUUUACUCAGAACUUAGACGACGUCGGCAGGCAUCGUGAAACGCUCGUUUACGUUAACAAGCGGGGAAACACAACACGGUGUCAACACACUCACACAGCCUGAGUCACACAAACAAACAAAGUCAAACAAAGCUAACCCGCUGGCUCCGUAAGAGAGGAGUUUCAAAGUUGUUUCGCCACACAACAUAACUAAAGUGGAGGCGAACAAACAAAAUGUGACAUUAUAGACGCAAAGUUAUUCGUUUUAGUUUUUACAGGAGAGAGAAGAGAGGUCUCCAGCUCACCGCUAAAGCUGAUAUAUUAAACAACAAUAAUAUUGAUAACUACUUUAUUUAUUUAUUACUUUUUGGCUACUUUGUUCAUUUGUACAACACUCUGAUCAGCAACAACACAUUAUUUUUAAAAGGUGUUUACAUAUAGAUUUACAUUUAAGGAUCAUUUGAAUAGCUCAACUAUACUUCAAUAGUAUUUAUAAGUUUUGAUAUAUGUAUUAUUUAGGGCUGUCAAAAAUAACGUGUUAAAGGCGGGAACUAAUUUAUUUCAUUAAUUACGUUCAUUUUUUUUACUGUAAUUACCGCAUGUGCACCAGAGCAAGCACAUCUCUUAUGGCAGGCUGAAUCACAGUGGAGCGUCCCCACACAGUCACACAGAGUCUGAUGCUGUUUUAGAACUUCAUUCUGACCCAAACACAUCAGCGGCAGUACUAUUCCAACACCAUGUACUGUAUGUAUCUCCCACUCACACACGUAUUUGGUUCGCUUCUCCCAGAAACAACACUUCCUCAUUCUCAUUACAAGACUGCAAGAAGGGACACUUCGAACAUCACAAGAACGGCUUUAUAAUUUCUGCGUGUUGAUGUGAGUUAACAGGAAGAUAAAGAAAAACAUGAUGUGGAUAUUCUUAUCACUCACUUCGUAACUCUUAAUUCGGAUGUACAAUUGGAAAUUUCAGCUCCUGCCUGAGCUACCACCUUAUCGUAGUGGAGGGAGGAGUUUGCGUGUCCCGUUGAUCCUAGGAGCUAAGUUGUCGGGGGGUUUUAUGCCCCUGGUAGGGUCACCCACGACAAACAGGUCCUAGGUGAGGGACCAGACAAAGCGCAGCAUUGUAGCAUCGUAGCUCAAGAUUUAAGAGAUUCAAGAGAGUUUUAUUGUCAUGUGCAUGGUAAAACAGCAGUUAUACUAUGCAAUGAAAAUCUUAUUCUGUUCAUUCUCCCAAGAAAAGAAAAAAACACAAGAAAGAAUAAGAACAUAAGAAACAUAAAUACCAAUAAAUUAAGCAACAACAACAGAAGAGACAUUAAUACAAAUAAAUAAAUAAAUAAAUAAAGUGCUAUGAGUGUGUGCGUGUGUUGCGUGCGGCGUCUGUGAGUGCUUUGUUGAGAAGCCUGAUGGCCUGUGGGUAAAAGCUGUUUGCCAGCCUUGUGGUCCUGGACUUCAAACUCCUGUAGUGUCUGCCUGACGGUAGGAGUGUGAAUAAUGAGUGUUGUGGAUGUGUGCUGUCCUUGAUGAGGUUGUGUGUUCUUCGCAGGACUCUAGUUUUAUAAAUGUCUUGCAGUGAGGGGAGGGCUUCCCCAACAAUGUUCUGUGAGGUCUUGAUCACCCGCUGGAGUGCCUUCCUAUCACGUGUUGUACAGUUACCGUACCAAACAGUGAUGGAGGCUGUAAGGACACUUUCGAUGGUGCAUCUGUAGAAGCAACUCAGGAUUGUGGUGGACAUGCCAAAUUUCCUCAGUCUUCUCAGGAAGUACAGUCUCCUUUGGGACUUCUUCAUAAUUUGUUGGGUGUUGUGAGACCAGGUGAGGUCCUCGCUGAUGUGUGUGCCAAGGAACUUGAAGGUUUUCACCCUCUCCACCUCAGUCUCAUCAAUAAACAGGGGUCUAUGCGGCUCCUUUUCCCUUGUUCUUGGGUCGAUGAUCAUCUCUUUAGUCUUAUCUGUAUUGAGAAGGAGAUUGUUAUCACGACACCAAGCUAUGAUAUCCGCCACCUCUCUUCUGUAUGAUGUUUCUACACCACCAGUGAUCAGUCCGAUGACUGUAGUGUCAUCUGCAAAUUUAAUGAUGCUGGUGUUGUUCUGGGAGGCCACGCAAUCGUAGGUGAAGAGCGUGUAGAGGAGUGGGCUCAGCACAGACCCCUGUGGGGUCCAAGUGCUCACAAUUCUUGACCUGGAUGUGCGAUUGUGGACUCUGACUGACUGGGGCCUGCCUGUUACAAAGUUAAACACCCAGUUACAGAGGGAGGGAGACAGGCCAAGUGUGAGGAGCUUAUUUGUGAGUUUGUGGGGGCAGACUGUAUUAAAAGCAGAGCUAUAGUCUAUAAAGAGCAUUCUGACGUAUGUGUCCUGGCCCUGUAGGUGAGAAAGGGCUGUGUGGAUGGCAGUGUUGACUGCAUCAUCCGUGGACCGGUUCUGGCGAUAUGCAAACUGUAGAGGGUCCACAGUUGCCGGGAUGCUCUUUUUGAUGUGGGUCAUGACUAAUCUUUCAAAGCACUUCAUAACAAUAGGAGUGAGUGCUAUAGGGCGAUAGUCAUUCAAGCAGGUCACGUUGCUCUUCUUGGGUAUGGGCACUAUGGUGGUGGACUUAAAGCAGGUCGGUACAGAUGCUUGUGCAAGCGACAGGUUAAAUAUGUCAGCAAGCACAUCAGCUAGCUCUGAUGAGCAAACCCGAAGUGCACGUCCUGAGAUGUUGUCUGGGCCUGCUGCUUUUCAUGGGUUUGUUUUGUUUAGAACCCUGCGCACAUCAGCUGAUGUCACCAUGAGAGGUGAGUCCUGUGUGCUCCCCAAGUCCAGCCACCCUCUCUGCUCAUCAGGAGUUUGGGUGUCAAAGCGGGCAUAGAACUCAUUCAGCUCAUCUGGAAGUGUGGUUUGGCUGGACGUGGCUACGCUACUCCGCUGUCGAUAGUCUGUGAUGGGCUGGAGCCCCGCCCACAUGCGCCGGGGGUCUGAGGUGGAAUAGUAGCCCUCCAGCUUCUGUCUGCACUGUCUUUUGGCCUCUCGUAUGGACCUCCUCAGGUCAUAGCUGGCCUUUUUGUAGUCCUCAGCGGUGCCCAUGACAAAUGCAGUCGAACGAGCACGUAGCUUAGCCCUUACAUCACAGUUCAUCCACGGUUUUUGGUUAGGGUAUUUUCUGUAAUACUUGGUGGCGGUAACAGUCUCUAUGCAUAGAUAGACCUCAAUAGACCUCUAUGACGAUAAAAAACAUUGGACCACGUUUUCCCUUGCCCGGACGCGGUUCACCGGGGCCCCCCUCUGGAGCCAGGCCUGGAGGAGGGGCACAAUGGCGAGUGUCUGGUGGCCGGGCCUACGGCCAUGGGGCCCAGCUGGGCACAUCCCGAAGAGACGACGUGGGUCCCCCCUCCAAUGAGCUCACCACUCAUGGGAGGGGCCAAAGAGGUUGGGUGCAGAGUGAGCUGGGUGGCAGCGUGACAAUGACCUGGACUUCCUCUUGAGGGCAUUCAUGUCAUUUUAGGAAAUGACCUAGUAGGAAGUCAUGUAUAGGCUGACAGUCCACCACUUCUGGUAGUUACUUGUUCCCCUUUGACUGUGGUAGACAAAACUAAACAAGUUCUUUCCCCGUGUUUUUACCAUAUGUGCUGUAACAACGUCUAUGGCCCAUUUACAACCUGAAACGAUCUCUGCUAGAUUCAUUGCUGUCUGCCCCUUGCAGUGGUUUGGCAGCUGAACAGAGAGAUGAUUCCUCUUUAAGCAAGCUGUUCCAAAGGAUGUUCUCAUGGCUGAAGACAGCAAGGAUGCUGCACGUGGAUAUAUGCAGAUAGAUGGAUGACUGGGUAAGAAAAUGGCUACCUAGUGCUAACGAUUUUGUUGGAAAACUCCUCUUUCAGAUUGUUGUUGCUGAGAAGUUUCAUCAUGAUAAGUCGCGAGACAUGGGAUUACAAAGACAUAAUCAUAUGUUUGUGUGAAACGCAAUGUGUCAUCAAAUUAAAGCUUGUCACAUCUGCCAAAUGACAUGGAAGCCCAACCAGUUUGUGAAACCUGAGCCAUCCUACCUCUACACAACCUUAACUGGCUGUGUGGGUCUGCAGCUUAGUUCAAAGCCUGGUAGUCCAUAUUUGUCGACUAUGAUGUUUCAGUGAACCAGGUAUCAAUCAGCAUACCUGCUUCGCUCAGCCACUGCAAAGUCAGUUGUGAAAGCACUAACACAAUUUAUGCCCAUUUUUGGAACACCAAAUGUAAUCCACGUCUUUCUCAUGCUGCCACACUGCCUGAUCCACCUUUGUCCUUGGCAGAUUAUGUAAAUGCUUUUCAAAAACUGUGUCAAAUGCCAAGGAUGUUUUGGUUGAAGACUGUCUGGCACCAGGAGUCUAUGCGUGCCACGCAUCUAGAUGCCUCCCUGACGCCUCCCCGGUGAGAUGUUCAGAGUAUGCCCAGCCGGCAGAAGGCCCCGGGGCAGACCUAGGACACGCUGGAGGGAUUAUGCCUCACAUAAUCACAUAACUGAACAGUCCAGUUGCGAUUGAGUCAAUGCCCUGAGAAUACAAUGACCUGGAUGAAUGACAAUAUUCACAGGUCAAAGAGGGAUUGGAUUGUCCGUGGUGCCAGUGACGGGUCAUAAAUUGCGUUACACACAUUAAAAUAUACUUAUCUAGUGUGGAAAUGACGGCACUUAAUUGUUACGUCGUCUGUCAGCAACAAGCCAAAAGCGCCGUCGCAUUCCACACACAUACGCUGAAGCCAGAGUAUUCCAAAAUCUUCACCCUGGCCGGAGUUUCCAAAAGCUCAGUUUUUAAGGACAAAACCCUAUGUUUGCUUGUCGACGAAAGGCCAUAAUGCAUAAAAAUAUAUGCAUUUAAAAAUAAUCUUUAUUCGUGUGGACAUGAUAUUUAAUAUAAGACAUUGUUCUUCCUCAGUGUAAGUUACAUUCGGUGCAUUGUUGAUGUCUGUGAUGGUUAUCUGCUGCUAACCCUGGUCUUUAAGGUGCAACCUCACUUCCACUCAACUUCACUCACUUUGCAUCAAAUCAAAGUUGGACAAUUGGACAAUUGGUUUUGUCCAUUUUCAAAUUGUGCACAAAAUUGGAAAUCGGAAAAAUGAUUCAUUAUCUAUUAUUGUUAUUAUUAUUAUUAUUAUUAAAUGGUUGUUUGUCUAUAUGUGCCCUGCGAUUGGCUGGCGACCAGUCCAGGGUGUACCCCGCCUGUCGCCCGAAGUCAGCUGGGAUAAGCUCCAGCAUGCCCCCGCGACCCUAAUGAGGAUGAAGCGGUAUAGAAAAUGGAUGGAUGGAUUAUUAUUAUUAUUAUUAUUAUUAUUAUUAUUAUUAUUAUUAUUAUGAUUAUUAUCUACUAUUAAAGAGACAAGCGUUAUACAAAUGGAUUUUUAAACUUGUGUGAUAUAUUUUAGCUUGAUUGACAUAUUCAGUUCAUUUGGAGCUGUUAUUACAUACAAAUACCGUAUUUUCCGCACUACAAGGCGCACUUAAAAGCCUUUAAUUUUCUAAAAAAUCUACGGUGCGCCUUAUCAUCCAGUGCGCCUUAUGUGUGCACUGAGUUCCAAAAUCUGUAAAAAUGUUGUUGUGCGACUUUGGUAAGCGCUUGACUGUCGGACCAUUUCCCGCUGACACAGGGAUGUAAUACAUACAGUACGUACGCUGGCAGCGAUAAACCAAUCAGAGAACAUUACAUAAUACGUACAGUACGUAUGCUUACUUCCGCCAUGCCUCCGGUAGAAAUACUACCGGUAUGCUGCAAAAUAAACAAUUGUGAAGCGAAGCAAAUUCAGCAAGUGAAGCAAAUGAAUUCGGAGCUUGCCAUCAUUCCGGGAGGAUUAACAAAAGAAGUCCAACCGCUGGACAUUGGUGUAAACAGGGCGUUCAAAGUGAAGUUGCGAGCGGCGUGGGAGCGAGUGAUGAGCGACGCCGUACACACCUUUACUAAGACUGGGAGGCAGCGCCGUUGAAGUUAUUGUUAAAUAGUAGAAUAAAGUUAAACUAAACUCACUCUUUUGCUUUUGUUGAAUGUUGGGAUGUGAUCAGAGGCAGAGCCAGAAAUGUUUCAUUGGGAUGGCCGAAUUACAACAAUUCUACAAAGAUGAGUGGGCCAAAAUUCCUCCACAGCGGUGUACGAGACUCAUUGCAAGUUAUCACAAAUGCUUGAUUGCAGUUGUUGCUGCUAAGGGUGGCCCAACCAGUUGUUAGGUUUAGGUUUCACAUUUUCACACAUGGCCAUGUAGCUUUGUUUUUUUUCUCCCUCAAUAAAAGGUUUCAUUUAAAAACUGUAUUUUCUGUUCAACUGUUGUCUUUGACUAAUAUUACAUUUUUUUGAUGAUGUGAAACAUUUAAGUGUGACAAACAUGCAAAAAAAUAUGAAAUCGGGAAGGGUUCAAACACUUUUUUACACCACUGUAUGAUGUUCGGUUGAGUUUAUUGAGCAUGAUCCUGACACAUAUUUCUCAUUGUUUGAGCAUGUUGCUGUGAUGAGACAGUGGUUGGACGUCAACCACAGGUUGUUACUGCAAUGUGUACUGGCAGGCAAAACGUGCGAGGGAUAUUCCACACUGUCUUUGGCUGAAAGUAAAAUUUAUUAUCUUGUUAAAAAAUGCAUACGAGUUUUUUAGUGAAGCUUAUUGGCAACGGUUCCGAACAUAUAGGAAAACUAAGACUGUCUGAAGCAUCUACUGAAGCUAUAGAAGUGUGGAAGUCAAAGUGGGACUCUCAGGGCAUUGAAUCAAUCGCAACUGGACUGUUCAGGUUGUCUUAGGUUGCUGAGGGCAGACUCAGACUACAGCAUUUACUCUAUCUUAUCUGACUGGUGUGUGUCCCACCAAGACAACCCGAUCAGUCCAGUUGCGAUCGAAUCAUUUGCCCUGAGAAUACAAUUACCUGGAUGAAUGAGAAUAUUCACAGGUCGAAGUGGGACUGUCUGUGGUGCCAGUGACAGUUCGUCAAUUGUGUUUGCAGUGUGCCUUUAGGCACGGUGAAGUGACAAUGACCUGCACUUCCUAUUGAGGGCAUUCAUGUCAUUUUAGGAAAUGACCUAGUAGGAAGUCAUGUAUAGGCUGAUCGUCCACCACUUCUGGUAGUUACUUGUUCCCCUUUGACUGUGGUAGACAAAACUAAACAAGUUCUUUCCCCGUGUUUUUACCAUAUGUGCUGUAACAACUUUUCGGACAUAUGUGUGUUCGAAAUAAAUUAAACCAACCAACCAACCAACCAACCAACAACGUCUAUGGCCCAUUUACAACAUGAAACGAUCUCUGCUAGAUUCAUUGCUGUCUGGCCCUUGCAGUGGUUUGGCAGCUGAACAGAGAGAUGAUUCCUCUUUAAGCAAGCUGUUCCAAAGGAUGUUCUCAUGUCUGAAGACAGCAAGGAUGCUGCACGUGGAUAUAUGCAGAUAGAUGGAUGACUGGGUAAGAAAAUGGCUACCUAAUGCUAACGAUUUUGUUGGUAAACUCCUCUUUCAGAUUGUAGUUGCUGAGAAGUUUCAUCAUGAUAAGUCACGAGACAUGGGAUUACAAAGACAUAAUCAUAUGUUUUGUGUGAAACGCAAUGUGUCAUCAAAUUAAAGCUUGUCACAUCUGCCAAAUGACAUGGAAGCCCAACCAGUUUGUGAAACCUGAGCCAUCCUACCUCUACACAACCUUAACUGGCUGUGUGGGUCUGCAGCUUAGUUCAAAGCCUGGUAGUCCAUAUUUGUCGACUAUGAUGUGUCAGUGAACCAGGUAUCAAUCAGCAUACCUGCUUCGCUCAGCCACUGUAAAGUCAGUUGUGAAAGCACUAACACAAUUUAUGCCCAUUUUUGGAACACCAAACGUAAUCCACGUCUUUCUCAUGCUGCCACACUGCCUGAUCCACCUUUGUCUUUGGCAGAUUAUG